rnacentral:rRNA from 1 species
AGAGUUUGAUCAUGGCUCAGGACGAACGCUGGCGGCGUGCCUAAUACAUGCAAGUAGAACGCUGAAGAGAGGAGCUUGCUCUUCUUGGAUGAGUUGCGAACGGGUGAGUAACGCGUAGGUAACCUGCCUUGUAGCGGGGGAUAACUAUUGGAAACGAUAGCUAAUACCGCAUAACAAUGGAUGACACAUGUCAUUUAUUUGAAAGGGGCAAUUGUUCCACUACAAGAUGGACCUGCGUUGUAUUAGCUAGUAGGUGAGGUAAUGGCUCACCUAGGCGACGAUACAUAGCCGACCUGAGAGGGUGAUCGGCCACACUGGGACUGAGACACGGCCCAGACUCCUACGGGAGGCAGCAGUAGGGAAUCUUCGGCAAUGGGGGCAACCCUGACCGAGCAACGCCGCGUGAGUGAAGAAGGUUUUCGGAUCGUAAAGCUCUGUUGUAAGUCAAGAACGGGUGUGAGAGUGGAAAGUUCACACUGUGACGGUAGCUUACCAGAAAGGGACGGCUAACUACGUGCCAGCAGCCGCGGUAAUACGUAGGUCCCGAGCGUUGUCCGGAUUUAUUGGGCGUAAAGCGAGCGCAGGCGGUUUGAUAAGUCUGAAGUUAAAGGCUGUGGCUCAACCAUAGUUCGCUUUGGAAACUGUCAAACUUGAGUGCAGAAGGGGAGAGUGGAAUUCCAUGUGUAGCGGUGAAAUGCGUAGAUAUAUGGAGGAACACCGGUGGCGAAAGCGGCUCUCUGGUCUGUAACUGACGCUGAGGCUCGAAAGCGUGGGGAGCGAACAGGAUUAGAUACCCUGGUAGUCCACGCCGUAAACGAUGAGUGCUAGGUGUUGGAUCCUUUCCGGGAUUCAGUGCCGCAGCUAACGCAUUAAGCACUCCGCCUGGGGAGUACGACCGCAAGGUUGAAACUCAAAGGAAUUGACGGGGGCCCGCACAAGCGGUGGAGCAUGUGGUUUAAUUCGAAGCAACGCGAAGAACCUUACCAGGUCUUGACAUCCCGAUGCUAUUUCUAGAGAUAGAAAGUUACUUCGGUACAUCGGUGACAGGUGGUGCAUGGUUGUCGUCAGCUCGUGUCGUGAGAUGUUGGGUUAAGUCCCGCAACGAGCGCAACCCCUAUUGUUAGUUGCCAUCAUUCAGUUGGGCACUCUAGCGAGACUGCCGGUAAUAAACCGGAGGAAGGUGGGGAUGACGUCAAAUCAUCAUGCCCCUUAUGACCUGGGCUACACACGUGCUACAAUGGUUGGUACAACGAGUUGCGAGUCGGUGACGGCGAGCUAAUCUCUUAAAGCCAAUCUCAGUUCGGAUCGUAGGCUGCAACUCGCCUACAUGAAGUCGGAAUCGCUAGUAAUCGCGGAUCAGCACGCCGCGGUGAAUACGUUCCCGGGCCUUGUACACACCGCCCGUCACACCACGAGAGUUUGUAACACCCGAAGUCGGUGAGGUAACCUUUUGGAGCCAGCCGCCUAAGGUGGGACAGAUGAUUGGGGUGAAGUCGUAACAAGGUA